UACAGAGGAUGCAAGCGUUAUCCGGAAUGAUUGGGCGUAAAGAGCGUGUAGGCGGCCUGACAGGUCUGCUGUGAAAACUCGAGGCUCAACCUCGAGAUGUCGGCGGAAACCGUCUGGCUAGAGUCCGGAAGAGGAGAGUGGAAUUCCUGGUGUAGCGGUGAAAUGCGCAGAUAUCAGGAAGAACACCUAUGGCGAAGGCAGCUCUCUGGGACGGUACUGACGCUGAGACGCGAAAGCGUGGGGAGCGAACAGG
rnacentral:rRNA from 1 species